AGAUGGCGACCGGCGCGCGGGUGAGUAACGCGUAUCCAACCUGCCGAUAACUCGGGGAUAGCCUUUCGAAAGAAAGAUUAAUACCCGAUGGUAUAAUCAGACCGCAUGGUCUUGUUAUUAAAGAAUUUCGGUUAUCGAUGGGGGUGCGUUCCAUUAGGCAGUUGGUGAGGUAACGGCUCACCAAACCUUCGAUGGAUAGGGGUUCUGAGAGGAAGGUCCCCCACAUUGGAACUGAGACACGGUCCAA
rnacentral:rRNA from 1 species